UCCAGAACGAACAGCCUGACACAUACGCA
rnacentral:piRNA from 2 species